CUGGAGGACACAAUAAAAACCAAAGGGGAAGAAAAUUCAAUUUCCUUGACCUCCCCUUUUUUCUCAAUUCUGCAAACUCAAACCCAAGCCCUAGCCCUAGCCCUAGCCCUAGCCCUGACUCCAUAUCCACAUAGACCAUGUUUAAUAACUAUGAUUCCAGGCUCCACGAUGCCGGCUCCUACCGUCAGCGAAGAAGUGAUUUGAUGGGACAGCCACCAUUUUCAAUUCCACCACCUGGUCCAAGUGGUGAUGCACCAAGCUAUGGCCGUGGAGUACCAGCUCCAUAUAGAGGUGUUCCAGUGGCACCUCCUUCUAUGAGGGGUGGUGAGAGAAUUGGAGGAGGUGGUGCUGGUACUUUUGGUAGGAAUUCUUCUUUUGAGCAUGGUGUUGGAAGAGGGUUUGAUGUUACCCGUGUUAACAGUAUAGGAAGCCGUGGUGGAGGAUUUAGCAAUGGGGCGAUUGGAGACAGGAGUGAUGGAAGAAGCCAUGAUGGUGGGAGAGGAGGUGGUGUAUCCGGGAGGGGUUUUGAUUUAGGUCGUGGCAGAGGUAGAAGUGGUAGAGGUGGAAAUUUUAGUGGUAGGCUUAGUGGAGGUAGGAGCAGUUUUCAUGGAGGUCCUGGUGGCAGUGAUUGGAGAGGGAGUAGGCCUAGAGAUGACUUAGAUAACAUUGCUCUUCCCAGGCAAGAUUUUGAUAACUUGGUUCCUUUUAGAAAGGACUUCUAUGUAGAGAGCCCAUCUGUGAGAGCAAUGACCGAACAAGAGGUUGCAAUGUAUCGUGCCAGGCGGGAUAUUACUGUUCAAGGCAAUGAUAUACCCAAGCCAAUCCGAACAUUUCAAGAAGCAAGUUUUCCUGGUUAUUGCCUCGAGGUUAUUGCUAGAUUGGGGUUUACUGAACCAACUCCGAUUCAAUCACAAGGAUGGCCAAUGGCUUUAAAGGGUAGAGAUUUGAUUGGCAUUGCUGAGACUGGUUCAGGAAAGACCUUGGCCUAUUUGCUACCUGCUUUGGUUCAUGUUAGUGCUCAGCCCCGGCUGAUGCAAAAUGAAGGUCCAAUUGUAGUAAUAUUAGCUCCUACCAGAGAAUUGGCUGUUCAGAUUCAACAAGAAGCUUUAAAAUUUGGAUCACGUGCAAAUGUACGGAGCACAUGUAUUUAUGGCGGUGCCCCAAAAGGUCCACAAAUUCGUGAUCUUAGAAGAGGGGUUGAAAUUGUGAUUGCUACUCCUGGAAGAUUGAUAGAUAUGCUGGAAUCUCAACAUACAAACUUGAGAAGGGUGACUUACCUUGUGUUGGACGAGGCUGAUCGCAUGCUGGAUAUGGGAUUUGAACCCCAAAUCAGGAAAAUUGUUUCCCAGAUUCGCCCAGAUAGGCAAACCUUGUAUUGGAGUGCCACGUGGCCAAGGGAGGUGGAAACUCUAGCAAGGCAAUUUCUACGCAAUGCUUAUAAGGUUAUCAUUGGGUCUUCAGACCUGAAAGCAAAUCUAUCUAUACAGCAAGUUGUUGAAAUUAUGACAGAUUUGGAGAAAUAUAACAGGUUGAUCAGAUUGCUGAAAGACGUGAUGGAUGGAAGUAAAAUUUUAAUUUUUGUGGAAACAAAGAAAGGGUGUGAUCAAGUUACAAGACAGCUGAGAAUGGAUGGAUGGCCAGCAUUAUCCAUUCAUGGUGAUAAAAGCCAGGAUGAAAGGGAUCGAGUCCUUGCUGAGUUUAAGAGUGGCAGAAGUCCUAUAAUGAUUGCCACUGAUGUUGCUGCUCGUGGUCUUGGUAGGAUAAGUGUUAUGGCUUAGGAACUUUUAGUCUCUCAUUUUGGACCUUCCAACUCUAAACAUAGUUGAGUCUCCGGCUGUUCUCCAUCUUCCCGAGAAUAUUGUGGUUUGGGUGCACAAGACGGUGUUAUUAUGCUGUCGUGUGUGAUGUUCUUUUCUGAUGCGCAGAAUUGAGGAUCUUGUAAACAUAGGAUGCUGACUUUGAGGGUUUGGUGCUACUAGCUUUUUCCCGACAGAAUGUGGCUCCUCCUAUGUUGAGUAACACAAUGUUGACGCUGCCCAUCCACAGUUAUGGAGCUGGUACUAGUGACAGCCGGUUGACUCACACGAGAUUGUUCAUUGAUUGGAUGGGUUGAUUUUGAAAUUUACAGCGGUUGGCUGGUCCUUAUCCCUGCAAGAUUAGAUGUGAAGGACAUAAAAUGUGUCAUCAAUUUCGACUUCCCAUCAAGUCUCGAGGAUUAUGUCCACAGGAUUGGGCGAACUGGUCGUGCAGGAGCCAAAGGAACUGCUGUCACAUUUUUUACCCACGGAAAUGCCAAGUACGCAAGAGAACUUAUUAAGAUCCUGCAACAAGCAGGACAAGCUGUUCCUCCUGAGUUGGCUGCAAUGGCCCGAUCCAGCGGAGGAGCUUCCGGAAGCAACUUCCGUUCCAGAGGUCGAGGAGGUUUUGGUGGUCGAGGAAGAUUUGGCAACCAUGGGAUAUCGGGGUCGAACACGAUCCCUCUUGGUGGUACAAGGAGGCCUUGGUAGUUUUAGCCAAUUCUUGUCAAAUGAAUAAAUGAGUGUACACUAGUCUGCAAAAUACACAAUGGAUGUGGGAUCUUUAAUGUAUUCUAAUUUUAUUCAAAAUAUUUACUAUCUAUGAUGUUAUGUUAUU